rnacentral:rRNA from 1 species
UACGUAGGGUGCAAGCGUUGUCCGGAAUUAUUGGGCGUAAAGAGCUCGUAGGUGGUUUGUCACGUCGGAUGUGAAAUCCCGGGGCUUAACCUCGGGUCUGCAUUCGAUACGGGCUGACUAGAGUUCGGUAGGGGAGACUGGAAUUCCUGGUGUAGCGGUGAAAUGCGCAGAUAUCAGGAGGAACACCGGUGGCGAAGGCGGGUCUCUGGGCCGAUACUGACGCUGAGGAGCGAAAGCGUGGGGAGCGAACAGG